rnacentral:rRNA from 1 species
AGUUCGAUUAUGGCUCAGAUUGAACGCUGGCGGGAUGUACUUUACACAUGCAAGUCGAACGGCAGCACGGACUUCGGUCUGGUGGCGAGUGGCGAACGGGUGAGUAAUGUAUCGGAACGUGCCUGGCUGAGGGGAUAACUACGCGAAAGUGUAGCUAAUACCGCAUACGCCCUUCGAAGCAGGGGACCUUCGGGCCUCGCGCUAUUAGGAAGCGGCCGAUAUCGGAUUAGCUAGUUGGUGGGGUAACGGCUCACCAGGCGACGAUCCGUAGCUGGUUUGAGAGGACGACCAGCCACACUGGGACUGAGACACGGCCCAGACUCCUACGAAGGAGGCAGCGGUAGAAAUUUUGGACAAUGGGGAAACCUGAUCCAGCCAUCCCGCGUGGUGAUGAAGGCCACCGGGACAAGCACUUUUGGCGCGGCACCGGAUAACCACCGGUGCAACUGACAUUUACUGCGAAUAAGCAUGGUUAACCGUCGCCGCAGCCGCGGCAUACGGCAGGCAGCGAUCGAGCUAGAAUCACUAAUCUCAGCGACCACAACUUUCGUCAAAAAGCGAUCAAUAACCAGAUGAAAUUUUAGCUGCGAAACUGAAGUCAGUAGUCACGUAACAGUAGUCAUCGACGCCUGCUGACUACCACCAGUCUAAAACAACGCCCGUAAGCAUAUCGCAUAAGCGUAAACAAACGAGUCGAUACACUAACAGUCAACGCCUCGACAGUCGAAGCUAUCUCAACGCUAACAUGGUAGCGCAGCAACGCGUGAAGAUUGACCGCCUGGGAGACACGUCCAGCAGAUAAGCUAAAGGAAUUGACGGGGACCCGCACAAGCGGUGGAUGAUGUGGAUUAAUUCGAUGCAACGCGAAAACCUUACCUACCCUUGACAUGUCUGGAAUCCCGAAGAGAUUUGGGAGUGCUCGCAAGAGGAGAACCGGAACACAGGUGCUGCAUGGCUGUCGUCAGCUCGUGUCGUGAGAUGUUGGGUUAAGUCCCGCAACGAGCGCAACCCCUUGUCAUUAGUUGCUACGAAAGGGCACUCUAAUGAAGCUGCCGGUGACAAACCGGAGGAAGGUGGGGAUGACGUCAAGUCCUCAUGGCCCUUAUGGGUAGGGCUUCACACGUCAUACAAUGGUCGGGGCUGGGGUCGCCAACCCGCGAGGGGGAGCCAAUCCCAGAAACCCGAUCGUAGUCCGGAUCGCAGUCUGCAACUCGACUGCGUGAAGUCGGAAUCGCUAGCUAAUCGCGGAUCAGCAUGUCGCGAGUGAAUACGUUCCCGGGUCUUGUACACACCGCCCGUCACACCAUGGGGUGGGUUUUACCAGAAGUAGUUGGCCUAACCGUAAGGAGGCGAUUACCACGGUAGGAUUCAUGACUGGGGUAAAGUCGUAACAAGGUAA